UUAAUUUGAAAGGCUGGAAGCGGAAAUGGUGUUCAGAUGCGCGUAGCAGCUGUAAACCAUUAGCCUGUGAACAGGUGCGCGUGCAGGUUCGUGGGCGGAGUUGUGUUUGAAAUGCCGCGUAUUUCCGCUGGUGAGGAGCUGCGGACUCUGGCGGAGUGUCGCUACAUGUUUCCCGCGGAAACUCUUCGUGAUCUUCAGAGAGUUGGUGCUCUUUACUUUGACCUCCGUCUCUACGUGGAUUUUUAUUGUUUUCCAAACAAAGAAAAGAAGAAGCUGGUCUAUUUAGCCGGAACACUUCCUGUUCUUUAUGAAGGAAGUAAGUACAAUAUUCCAGUGUGCGUCUGGCUUCAUGAGACUCAUCCCAUGUCCCGCCCUCGUUGUUAUGUCUGUCCAUCUGUCUCCAUGGUGAUUAACCCGUCUUGUCCCUGUGUGGAUCGCUCUGGAAACAUCAGUCUGAAAGGACUGAAGAACUGGACUCAUGGUGUAUCCAACCUCUCACUGCUUGUGUCAGAGAUGAGGCGGGCCUUCCAGGUGGACACACCCCUUUAUGCCAGAUGUCUUGUACAAGCCCCACCCCCUGCAGAUGUGGAGGCGUCACAUCCAUCAUCAAGAGUAAAGUCAGACAGACACCACCGUCCGUCCAUCUCCUCCUCUUCUUCUUCCUCAUGUCCAUCUACACAGACAGCCAGCCAAUGGGAGCAGAGUGGGGAGGUGAGGGUGAGGAGUUCAUACACUGAGGAACUGCUGGGGAUCGACUUCAGUGCUCCUUCUCCGUCCUCCUCCAACCACAGCAACCCCUUCCUGAGCAGCUCCUCCUCCUCAGGUCUCCCUCCAGACCUCCUAAGCAACAAGAUGGGGGCUCUAACACUGAAGCCAGGUAACUCACCUGCACAGAUCAACCAAUCAGGAGUAGACAGACGUAGGUUAAGUUCUGGACCAGAACCUCAACUACAUCAGAACAAGGGUUUUAAGAGUUUAAAACCAGAACCAGCUGGACCAGGCUACAUGGAGAUAGCAGCUCAUCUCCCUCCAGACCAGGCAUCCAUCUUCCUGUCCUUGAUGGAGAUGGAUGGUCGGAACUUCAGCCCCAUUGAUGUCAUGGAGGCGGUCCAACUCAACAAAGAUCUGCAGUCCGCCCUCAGGUUCUUGACUCACUGUUGCCCUAUCUGUCAAGACCAGGUGACCUUCAGCAAGAUCAUCACCAUGACUCACUGCUCCUGUUUCCUGUGUCAGACGUGCUUUAAGUCAUUUUUCUCGGCGGCCAUUAAAGAGCGAAGUGUUGAUCAGCUGGUUUGUCCUCAGUGUGGCAGACCAGAGGUCAGAGGUCAUGGGAAGCUAGAGGAGGCCAUGGACUACUUCAACCUCCUGGAUACUCAGAUCCGUCACUUCCUGUCUCCUCAGGACCAUGAACUCUUCCAGAAGAAGCUGAGAGAUCGAGCUCUUCAGGAAAUGUCCAACUUCUGCUGGUGUGCUCAUUGUUCCUUCGGGAUGCUUCAUGAAGGAGGCCAGUUGAGGAUGGACUGUGUGAGCUGUAAGAAGAGCACCUGCAGUCAGUGUGGAUCAGCUUGGUCUCCUCAACACCAGGGUUUGUCCUGUGACCAAUUCAGACUGUUGCAGCAGCAAAACCAGCUUGACUCCGCCUCCUUCAGUGACACCAGCAUCGAGUGUCCACAGUGUAAAUGCGUCUUCAGUCUGUCCAGAGGAGGAUGUCUUCACUUCACUUGCAGUCAGUGUCAACAUCAGUUCUGUGGAGGCUGCACUGGGACCUUCUCUGUGGGAGCAGUCUGUGGUUUUUCCCUAGACUGUGCAACCAAAGGUCUUCACGCCCACCACCCUCGAGACUGUCUGUACCACCUGAGAGACUGGACCGUGACCCGACUGCACCUGUUGCUUCAGUAUUACCGAGUCUCUCCUUCAUGGUUGGAACCAGCCCACAGCGGCUCAGAUGUAUGUUUGGUUCUGGAGCUGAAAGACGACAGCAGCGACCGGGGGGAGGAGCCAUGUGGGAAACUUGCGCCACCUGAACACAGAGGAUACUGCCAGUCACAUUAUAAGGAGCGUCUGGUGGAGCUGAUCAACUGUAACCAUGCAGACCCGGCCGUCCUCUUUAGUGUGGACGAGAUGAUGUCAGAGCUGCAGCGUUGGUGCGUCGCCGUGCCAACCAGGAAACCAGAUGAACCGGAGCAGCUGUACGUCCAACGCCUACGUCGAGUGAGUGAGUGAGUGAGUGAGGGAGUGAGGGAGGGUGUAAACACACCAACCCCCGUGAGCGAUCACUCGGCGAACUACAGACAUGUAAAUGACUCAGGUUGUUUUUCUAUGGUGCUACAUGUACCGGGAUGUGCAGUAAAAACAAGGAAAGGACAAGCAGUAAGUUCCCAUCAUUUGCCGGUCAGAGUUUCAGAGCUGUGCAAGCCUGAAGGCUAAGCUAAGCUAGUAUGGAGUUUUGGAGAAGACACUGAAGACAUGGAAAAGCUGGAAACUCAGAGUGUUCACGGUCUCCAUUUCCAACACAAAGACGUCACUGAGAGGGUCACUGCCGACCGAUGGUGUACCUACCUGGUGCUGACGACCUCGUCCUGGGUGAGCUCCGCGCCCGGGAACCACUUAUCGCACCAUCACAGGCGGAUAGCCUCUUCCCCUGCCCAUCUGCUCUCCAUCUCUGGGACCCCUGUCUGAGUCCACCUGCAAAUCGACUCUAGCAGGCAGGUGGCUAGUGCUGGCGUUGCUGUGACUAGCGGCUAGUGAGGCUAGACAACAUCUUCCUUUGGACAGCAUGACACUGACUUAUUCCACCGCCCGACGCCUCCAAAUCAAAUCCACAAUCCCCCCUGGAUAUGAAAUCUCCCUCGUCAUCAAAGAACUCAGAUAUAGCCCCGCUAUAUCCACAGAAGCUGUCGGAAAAAGUUUGUUUACCACCGGUGGCAUGAUCGGUGCAUUCCUUCCAUCUGGACGUCUGACGCAUAUCUACAACGUCAUCAGAGCGCUGCCGUCUCCGGCUGUAGUCCGUGCCGUAGUCUCGCUGGAAACACCGCGAGACUGUCACAAACCAAGCAGGACAAAAAACGGGGAGCUGAUUCCAGCCUACUCCGCCCUCUUCAGCGUCACACCACUUCAACAGAUGUCAAAAUUGAACUUUUAAACACUCAAUCCCUGAACAAUAAAUCCUCCUUUAUUCAGGACCACAUUGCUGACAAACAGAUUGACUUCAUGUGCCUUACAGAGACAUGGCAACAACCUGAGGUCUAUUCUGCCUUGAAUGAAGCCUGUCCUCCUGGCUAUAGCUACCUGGAAAAAGCCUGCUGCACUGGCCGUGGUGGUGGCUUAGCUGUGGUAUACCGAAGCAAUUUUAAUUUGUCUCCCCUACCGCUGCCUGCAUCUUUGUCAUUUGAAUGCCUUGCAUUUAAAUGCAAACCCCCUUACUCAUUUACAAUACUCUUGGUCUACAGGCCCCCCAAACCUAACUCGGCCUUAAUGCCAGAGAUACAUGACCUCCUCACCACUCUCUGCACAACCUCAGCUAAUAUUAUAAUACUUGGCGAUUUUAACAUCAAUGUUGACACUCCCUCCUGCCACCUUGCUGCUGAGUUUUUGCAUCUCCUUGACUGCCUCAACCUGACAAAAAAUGUUGCUGUCCCAACACACACACUCUAAUCAGCAACCUUUUGGUGUUUGAACUGGGUGUGUCUGACCACAAGGCCAUUUCAAUGGAGCUGCCAAACCUGUAUCCCCUUGAAAAACUCAAACGCCAGAUCAGCUUCAGGAAUUUAAAAAAUAUCAACCCAAACUCCCUAACUUUUGACCUACAGCAUCUCGCUUCUGUUCAUUUUCAAACCGUCACUGACUCUGUAAAUUUCUAUAAUGCAUCACUGAGAAGCCUCCUGGACCUCCACGCCCCUGUCAAAAACAACAGUUACAUUCACCCAUUCAGCCCCCUGGCACACCAGCGAGCUGCGGGAAAUGAAGAAAGCAGGACGUGUCCUCGAAAGGCGUUUCAAGGUUUCAGGUCUCACAGUGCACAAACUUGCGGGAACAUCAGAAGACCUACUCAAAAUCCCUCAGUGAUGCACGGUCUUGUUUCUUCUCUGGUCUCAUCAACAAUAGCCCUGGAAACUCAAAAAGACUUUUUUCCACUGUCAAUAACCUUCUCAAACCUCAAACCCCCCUGAAAUUGGACACCACACAGGAGCAGUGCAACAACUUCAUCUCUUUCUUCAGGACAAAGGUAGAUAACAUCCGUGCCAUCCUCUCCCCCUCCAAUCCCAACUGUCAGCCCUCAGCCUGGGAUGGUCCAGCCUCUCUGCUGUUUCAUGGACAUCACACAGCAUGAGGUUGAGGAAACCAUGAGGAAGAUGAAACCCUCUACCGGUGCCCUGGACCCUUUUCCCUCAGCUUUGAUAAAAACUCACUCCUCUGAAGGGAGCAGUUUGUGAUUUUGGUAAUCGUAGGACUUAUGGCAGACUGGCCAAAUCCCAUCUGCCCUCAAAAUUGCUGUCAUCAAGCCACUCCUUAAAAAACCCAGCCUUGACCCGGAAGUACUUGCCAACUACAGACCCAUUUCAAAUCUUCCGUUCCUCUCAAAAGUGCUGGAAAAGGUAGCUGCUGCCCAACUGCAUCACCUUAAAUCAAACAACAUGUUUGAAAAGUUUCAGUCCGGCUUCCGCCCUGGCCAUAGCACGGAAACUGCCCUGGCCAGGGUCACUAAUGAUCUGAUGAUGUCAGCUGAUGCUGGCUCACCAUCCCUGCUCAUUCUCCUCGAUCUCACUGCAGCUUUUGAUACGGUUGACCACCACAUUCUUCUUCAUCGCCUACACUCCAUCAUCGGACUCUCUGACUCAACUCUUAACUGGUUCACCUCCUACCUCACCAACAGAAUGGAAUCCCUGGGAGAAGCCAAGUCUGACACGCUACCUAUCUCCUGUGGUGUCCCCCAAGGGUCAGUCCUUCGCCCCACCCUUUUCACUGUGUACAUGCUUCCCCUUGGCCGUGUCAUCAGCCGGCAUGGAAUAUCUUUCCAUUGCUAUGCUGAUGACACUCACUUGACCUUUGGACUUCACAACAGCUUUGCAAAAACUCUUUUUACCACCUAAAAAAUAUUGCAAAACUCCGCCCCUCUCUCUCACUUCCAGAUGCAGAGAAACUUAUCCACGCCUUUAUCUCCACCAGGCUGGACUACUGUAAUGCUCUUCUUGUCGAGAUCACAAACAAAAACAUUCAGAAGCUUCAACAGAUAUAAAACUGUGCUGCCCUGAUCCUCACAAAGACUCGAAAAUUUGACCAUAUCACACCAAUUCUCAAAUCCCUUCAUUGGCUCCCAGUCUCAUGCAGGAUUGAAUACAAAAUAUCACUACUAACCCACCAGUGCCUCUAUGGUAAUGCUCCAACCUACUUGAAGGAGCUAAUCACCCCUCAACCCACUCCACGACACCUCCGCUCCGGCCAGGCAAACGUCCUGCAAAUCCCAAGGACCAAGCUCCGAACGAUGGGAGACGGAGCCUUCUGCCACGCCGCUCCCAGUCUUUGGAACGCUCUCCCUGACGACCUGAGAGCACCACUGACCCUAGACACUUUUAAAAAAGGCCUAAAAACCCACCUUUUUAAGAAAGCUUUUUAUGUUUAAUUGGAGACGUUCUCUCUCCAAUUAUUAUUAUUUUUUUUUAUUAUUAUUUUUUUUUUACGUAGCACUUUGAGAUUGUUUGUUCAAUAUAAAGUGCAUUACAAAUAAAAUUCAUUAUUAUUAUUAUUAUUAUUAUUAUUAGUUGUCGGCAGUAAAGCAACAACGUUGUCAAAGUAACGUUUGAUAGACAAUUAUCUGAUAGCAAAGCAAAGCCACCUUGCUUUCGCUUGAGAAUAAUGUAAUUAAAUGUUUUAAUGUUAUUCAUAUUUGUUGAAGUCGCAAUGUUUUCACACCACGGUCAUUUUCAGUGUGUACUAACAUCUAAUGUUAUUCAUAGCCUAUAUAGACAAAAUUAUAAUGUUCACAGCUAAUUCAGUUGGCAUAUUUUGCUGAAAGAUUUGUUUCCUGGAAAAAAGUCAAAUUUUCAUUCAUAUUUAAUGUGUAAUUGUAUUCUUUGUCCUUUAGGAGCAUGAUUGAAACAAGUCUUCGAGAUAAUCUUCACACCACACACCAUCCAGUGUCUGCUCCUCUUCCAGAUUCCUCCAGCUGUGUCACAUCAGAUUCUGUCGCCACUGUACAUGUUUCAUAAUUUAUUUUUUGUUUGCAUAUUGUGUUAGACAUUCUUUUAGAUUUGUCUUCUUGUUUAUUUUAUAUUAAAACAUUUUCCUUUGUGAAUAAUAGA